rnacentral:rRNA from 1 species
GUGAGGAAUAUUGGUCAAUGGGCGAGAGCCUGAACCAGCCAAGUCGCGUGAAGGAAGAAGGAUCUAUGGUUCGUAAACUUCUUUUGCAGGGGAAUAAAGUGCAGGACGUGUCCUGUUUUGUAUGUACCCUGAGAAUAAGGAUCGGCUAACUCCGUGCCAGCAGCCGCGGUAAUACGGAGGAUCCGAGCGUUAUCCGGAUUUAUUGGGUUUAAAGGGUGCGUAGGUGGUUUGAUAAGUCAGCGGUGAAAGUUUGCAGCUUAACUGUAAAAAUGCCGUUGAAACUGUCGGACUUGAGUGUAAAUGAGGUAGGCGGAAUGCGUGGUGUAGCGGUGAAAUGCAUAGAUAUCACGCAGAACACCGAUUGCGAAGGCAGCUUACUGGGAUGCAACUGACGCUCAUGCACGAAAGCGUGGGGAUCAAACAGGAUUAGAAACCCUAGUAGUCC